GGAAGGUCAAAAGAGGCAAAUUCAAAGCCGCGGCGACUCAGCUGCCAGAUUUUUGAGAGCCGUCUUUCUCCCCUGCUGCUCAGAGAGAUGUCAGUCUCGUCUCAACCUCACCAGCAAUUUCUAUCUUGAAUAAGCCAAGUCUCUCUCCCAGCCUGAGAGAAUGCUUGAAUUGUUGGCACUCUGUUCUUUGCUACCAAAUGGCUUGGAAAAAUAGCAUGAACGUCACCAGUCUCUGGCCUUCAGGAAAGUCCCUG
rnacentral:lncRNA from 1 species